UCAGCUUCAGAAUUCAAUUUUCCUACUCAAUUUUCUGCUGUUCAAAUGAUGCAGUCAUUUCGUUGCUUGGAUAUAGAUGGUAGGCUCCAGCUCUGAAAGCAACAAAGUUGGUGAAAAUCUCACAGGAAGCCAAGCUCUUCUUUGUCUUUUGUCAAGGCCCUUUGUAGUUUCAAAAUGAUCAAAAGCGAGUGCAGGUGAAAAGCAAACACUGCGGUAUCAUGCUUGAGGAGAGUGACAUCAUCUAUGUGGCAGUGCUUUCCGGGUUCCUUACAGAUGGAGGUUGAAGAAUGCCUCAUCUGAUAUAAAACAAAUGGUUAAAAGUGAAACACACUUGGAUAUUCCUGCUGAUCUCAGAAAGAAACUCCAUGGGGCUAAGAAAGAAAAAUUAGAAAUAAC